GGGAUUGCCCUAGUAACGGCGAGUGAAGCGGCAACAGCUCAAAUUUGAAAUCUGGCCCUCGCGGUCCGAGUUGUAAUUUGCAGAGGAUGCUUUUGGUGCGGUGCCUUCCGAGUUCCCUGGAACGGGACGCCAGAGAGGGUGAGAGCCCCGUACGGUUGGACACCUAGCCUAUAUAUAGCUCCUUCGACGAGUCGAGUAGUUUGGGAAUGCUGCUCUAAAUGGGAGGUAAAUUUCUUCUAAAGCUAAAUACCGGCCAGAGACCGAUAGCGCACAAGUAGAGUGAUCGAAAGAUGAAAAGCACUUUGAAAAGAGGGUUAAAUAGCACGUGAAAUUGUUGAAAGGGAAGCGUUUGCGACCAGACCUUCUCCAGGGGGAUCAUCCGGUGUUUUCACCGGUGCACUUCCCCUGGUCUAGGCCAGCAUCGGUUUUUUUAGGGGGAUAAAGGCCUGAGGCACGUAGCUCCCUCGGGAGUGUUAUAGCCUCUAGCGUAAUACCCUUAAGGGGACCGAGGACCGCGCACUGCAAGGAUGCUGGCGUAAUGGUCGUCAACGACCCGUCUUGAAACACGGACCAAGGAGUCGAACAUUUGUGCGAGUGUUUGGGUGUUAAACCCUCACGCGUAAUGAAAGUGAACGGAGGUGAGAGCCCUUCGGGGUGCAUCAUCGACCGAUCCUGAUGUCUUCGGAUGGAUUUGAGUAAGAGCAUAACUGUUCGGACCCGAAAGAUGGUGAACUAUGCGUGGAUAGGGUGAAGCCAGAGGAAACUCUGGUGGAGGCUCGCAGCGGUUCUGACGUGCAAAUCGAUCGUCAAAUCUGCGCAUGGGGGCGAAAGACUAUCGAACCCAUCUG
rnacentral:rRNA from 1 species